GCUAGGUGUCGUGUCCUGCUAGGUGUCGUGUCCUGCUAGGUGUCGUGUCCUGCUAGGCGUCGUGUCCUGCUAGGUGUCGUGUCCUGCUAGGUGUCGUGUCCUGCUAGGUGUCGUGUCCUGCUAGGUGUCGUGUCCUGCUAGGUGUCCUGCUAGGUGUCGUGUCCUGCUAGGUGUCGUGUCCUGCUAGGCGUCGUUUCCUGCUAGGCGUCGUGUCCUGCUUGUGUCCUGCUUGGUGUCGUUUCCUGCUAGGUGUCGUGUCCUGCUAGGUGUCGUGUCCUGCUAGGUGUCGUGUCCUGCUUGGUGUCGUGUCCUGCUAGGUGUCGUGUCCUGCUAGGUGUCGUGUCCUGCUUGGUGUCGUGUCCUGCUAGGUGUCGUGUCCUGCUUGGUGUCGUGUCCUGCUUGGUGUCGUGUCCUGCUAGGUGUCGUGUCCUGCUAGGUGUCGUGUCCUGCUUGGUGUCGUGUCCUGCUAGGUGUCGUGUCCUGCUUGUGUCCUGCUUGGUGUCGUGUCCUGCUAGGCGUCGUGUCCUGCUAGGUGUCGUGUCCUGCUAGGCGUCGUGUCCUGCUAGGUGUCGUGUCCUGCUAGGCGUCGUGUCCUGCUAGGUGUCCUGCUAGGUGUCGUGUCCUGCUAGGUGUCGUGUCCUGCUAGGCGUCGUUUCCUGCUAGGCGUCGUGUCCUGCUUGUGUCCUGCUUGGCGUCGUUUCCUGCUAGGUGUCGUGUCCUGCUAGGUGUCGUGUCCUGCUAGGUGUCGUGUCCUGCUUGGUGUCGUGUCCUGCUAGGUGUCGUGUCCUGCUAGGUGUCGUGUCCUGCUAGGUGUCGUGUCCUGCUAGGUGUCGUGUCCUGCUUGGUGUCGUGUCC
ensembl:lncRNA